UACGUAGGGUGCAAGCGUUGUCCGGAAUUAUUGGGCGUAAAGAGCUCGUAGGCGGUUUGUCGCGUCUGCUGUGAAAACUCGGGGCUUAACCCCGGGCCUGCAGUGGGUACGGGCAGACUAGAGUGCGGUAGGGGAGACUGGAAUUCCUGGUGUAGCGGUGAAAUGCGCAGAUAUCAGGAGGAACACCGGUGGCGAAGGCGGCUCUCUGGGCAUGUCCUGACGCUGAGGAGCGAAAGUGUGGGGAGCGAACAGG
rnacentral:rRNA from 1 species